CAAAUCCUUUUUCACAUUAUGUGAUCCAUUCCCGUAUUACUCUGAUUCCCAAGUUUUCAGACUUUUCACUUCUGGCUUUGGACUAACCAAGAUCAUGACCCAGUCCAAGAUUGCACAAAUCCCACGCAUAAGCUCGUGGCAGCUAUCCCACGCGUAAGCCCGUGGAGCCUAUCCUACGCAUAAGCUCGUAGAUGCUAUCCCACGCGUAAGCCCGUGGAGGCUAUCCUACGCAUAAGCUCGUAGAGGCUAUCUCACGCAUAAGCUCGUGGCAGCUAUCCUACGCAUAAGCUCGUAGAGGCUAUCUCAUGACAAGGUUAGUCCAACCCAUUUUACAUAUCUAGUUUUACAUGUUUAAUCACAUUUCAAUCACGUCACAUAUUUUCAUAAUUUCUCAAAAAUAUGUUAUUCCUUCCCAAUUUAAUUAUUUUAAUACUUUCAUAAUAAACAAAAUGCACACCUCAUAGUGUCAUACAAGCUCAAAAACAAAUAGCAACAUACUGAUAAAAUAUAUCCAACGAUAAAUCCAAUAUAUGCAUAAAUAAAAGUGCUCAGAUGUAGGGAUUCUUACAGAGAUUGUAGACUGACUCAAACACGGAUCCGAAUCACAACCUACGCGCUGGGGUGCUGAGUCCCCUGAUCAAA
rnacentral:lncRNA from 1 species